ensembl:lncRNA
GAUGUUAUUAUGGCGUAAACCAUUUGAACGUAAUGUCUAAGGCACCCUUGAGGAAGAAAUGGGGUAAAGAAGUGUUUUAGUAGCCCAUGGACUUCACCCUAUGCUCCAGUGUUGGCAAACAUUUUAUGUUUGAGAGAGCUUGGAAGAUCGUGUCCUUGGGCAGCAGUUCCAAACAUGGAGUUACCCAGGGAACGCUUUUAAAUAAUGUAUUCUGAAACUCAGUCCUUGAAGAUUCUGAGGCAAUAGAUCUGAAGUGGAUCUUUAGAACUCAUCUUUUAAAGCUCCCCAGGUGAAGCUAGGACUUGAGGACCUUCCUCAUCUUUUGAAAUUCCCAGGUGGGGCAAGAAUUUGAGGACCAUUGCCCCGGGAUUGCCAGUGCUAUUCUCCUAGUGUUUCCUUUCUAGGCAUGUAUAGGAUCUUCGUUCUGUGACCAGGGAUUGAACCCACACUCUCUGCAUUUGGACCACCAGUGAAGUUUCAACAUAUAUUUAUUUGGUUGUUUAUUGUCUCUCUCCCCAACUAGAAUGCACACUCUGUGGGGGAGGGGUUCUGUCUGUAUCUGUGUCUGUCUGCCUAGCGCUUGGCACCUAGUCAGGGCCCAUUACGUAUGUGUUGAAUAAAUGAAUGAAUGAGUCAGUAUAGCAGUUGUUUUCCUUCUGGGUUAUCCACAGCAUGCUUUUGAUACUUGCCCCUCAGAUGUACAUGGAAUGCUUGUAAAAUUGAGAUGACAGAAGUCUUGAUCUCUGUCAAUCAUUUUAUUCAUGGUCUUGUUUGCCUUUUGUUAUUGCUCUUUAAUAUUUAUAAAGAACACAGCCAUUCCUAGGACAGCUAGUCUUGAGAAUACUUUAACUAUUAUCCCCCUAUUCUGAAGGUGUCAGACUUUGCUCCUGGCCUUUGCUCCAGGGCUGUCAGAUUUAAAUUGAAUGAGGGGUCAGACAACAUCCAGUCAGGCAUGUCCCACAGACAGGGAAAGACUCCAGCUACACUUACUGACUCUGCCAGACCUGUAUAGAACCACCAGAAAGGGGGAAACUUU